AGAACUGAUAAAGGGGUAAUCAAUUUUUUUUAAGAACCAGUACUGAAAAUAAUAUAAUUGCUUCCAGGGACAAAUACAUGAAUUCACUUUUUAAAAACAUGAAGGGUCACUUCUUCAAUAAAUAGGAGUGCUUGAUUAUUUCCAACAGGUAAACAUCCAAGAUACAUUAGCCAAAAUAAUAAUAAAACUGUUCUGGCUGCUAUCAUGACACUAGUGAAUGCAGUGGCACAUGGGAAUGGGAAUAUCAAAUCAUUUCCUUCAUAAAGUCAUAAUUUUGUCUGUUUAUUUCCUUUGGGAAGAACAAGAAAUUCUGUCUUAUAAAAAAGAUUUCAUCAUGUUUUAGGGGCUAAUAGAGAGUCACUUACUCUUUGAAAUAAUAUUUAUUUAUUAAAUACCUGCAGAGCAUGGGAACAUCAAGAAAUAGAGUUAUCCUAAAAUGGGAAAUUUUUAAAAUGAUACAAGAACAUGAAACUAACAUUAAAAAUUAUUUUUUACGAUACAAUAUAAGUGAACAGCUUAGAGCUGUUUGUUUCAAGCCUCCCAGGUUGAAACUUUCACAGUAGAGAGGCAGAGCAGAUGAUGUGUGUGUAGGGGGUGUGUGGGAGGGCAAAGAGUGCAACUCUGUAAGCAGGAACUGGAGGAGGCAACAGAAAAUUAUCAUCUUGCCAUCUUCCUCCUCCCUCUCCCACCUUCCAUGAUGGAAUAAUAAUAGGGAUCCAUUCCAUGUGUAUUGUAUCACCCUUCAGAGUUUACAGAGUGCUUUCACAUUCAUUAUCUUAUCAUGCCAACCCUAAAAGAGAGGCAUAGUAGGUAUUUUUUUUUUUUACCAUUUUCUAGAUGAGAAAAUAUGGGGCUCAAAGAGGUUAAGUGGCUUUUCUAUAGCUGAAUGACAAUACAAAUUAAUUAGUGCCAGGACUAGAACUCAUGUCUUUGUCUCUGAAAACAGUUCUCUUUCCAUAACCUUCAUUCAGCCCCAAAUUUUCUCCCUGAGUCUUUCCAUUUAAUCGUGUAAGUUGCUGAAUGUUCCCCUGGGUGGGGUGCUGUGUUGAGUAGCAGCAGGAGCAGCUGCAGCGGCAGCGGAAGUUAACACUCACAGUUUGGGUAGAGCAAAAAUGAGUGAAUUACCAUCACAAGUGAAAGACCCUUCUUUCAUCCAUUCUGAGCAAAGUCUCUCUCUCUCUCUCUCUCUGUGUGUGUGUGUGUGUGUGUGUGUGUGUGCGCGCGCGCGCGUGUGUGUAAUAGGGAGUGGAGUAUGGAAAUUAUACUUCAGUAUACUUCAGCUAGUCUGUCAAAGGUUCACUUCUGUCCAUCUAAAAUAAUAAUAAUGUGGACACAUAAUACCUCUGCUUCCAUUUGGUAAAAUAGGGAGAAAAAAAGUAGUAAAUGGGAGUGGUCAUGAAGGAAUGGAGAAAGUAGGAAUCAGUGAGCAUCUAACAUGUGCCAAGUGCUUUACUUACAAUACUUUAUUCAAUCUUCACAAUUGUCCAGUGACAUACGUUCUACUAGUGCCCCUCCCUUACAGAUUUGUAAAUUCAAGUUUAGAUAGGUUAAGUCCUAGGUUACAGAGCCAGUGAUCUCCCGAUCCAGGAUUCAAAGAGAUUCUUAUAGCUCCAGAAUUGGUUAUUUUACUGCCAAGUAAAGAACCUGUGUCUUAUGGUGAAUGGAAACAGCAAUGGCUUUCUUUUCUUUUUUUAUUAUUUUAGAUUUGGGGGUACAUAUGCAGAUUUGUUAUAUGGGUAUAUUGCGUAACACUGAGGUUUGGGCUUCAGUUGAAUCCAUCAUGUAGUUAGUGAACCUCGUAUGCAAUAGGUAGUUUUUCAACCUUUGCUCCAAUCCUUUCCUUUCCACAUUUGGAGUCCCCAGUGUCUGUUGUUUCCAAGAUUGCCCUUUUAACCAAUGGUCAGAGACUCAAAUGUCCCCUCGUCUACCUAUAGCCAAAUACAGCAAUCCCUUCUAGACACCACUUACCGAUGGCUGUCCAGUGAGCCAUAGGGGCUCGGAGUUAGUUUAGAUUUUAUAAAUGGAGGUGGACUCAUCCCUUCUCUUAUCUGGCACUUCACUCAGGGCAUUUGUUCGAGGCAGCAAGCCAGCAUCAGAGAUAAUCUAUCACUAUAGAAGAGAGGAACAGUGACCAUGCACUUAGCCCCAGUGGCACCUGAUGCCAACCAUUGUGCAAUCUGGUCCUUUGCUCAGACAUGUCUGCUCAAUAAGUCCUUGUAGAAUUCACAGUCAGUUUUACAGCUGCAUUACCUUUGCCCCAAGCAUGGUUAGAGGAAUCAGCAGGUGACGAUCAGCCAGGAGCUACAUAAUUUCUGAGGGGUUUGGUCAUUCUUUGGUUUCUCUUUCACAGGAUACAAGUGAUGCCUUCAAAUUUGAGCUCAGUUUCUUAUGGUCGUUUAGGAGCAUGAGGGUUUCUGCAAUAAUCUACCAGUGAAAUGAUGAUCAAGAUCUUGGAAAGCACUCUACUGGUCAAGCAGAAUAGUUCCUGUCAUCUCCAUUAAGAAUCAGCUUAUUGGCCGGGCGCAGUGGCUCAUGCCUGUAAUCCCAGCACUUUGGGAGGCUGAGGCGGGUGGAUCACGAGGUCAGGAGAUCGAGACCAUCCUGUCUAACAAGGAAUCCUUUCUGGCACUCAAGAGUUUUCAAUUCAAUCCUGAUGAAUGAAUCAUUAUUUGAUACCAGCCUAAGUGAAGACUCUGCCUGGUGACUUUUGCAAGAGCUUUAGUGUUUAUCCAGCUAUUGGUAUGCAGACAACUAUACCCUUAUGAGAAACACUAGCAGAGAAGAAGAGUUCUUGACUGGGUCUGGGCCAUGAAACUGACCGGAUAAAAGUGGGAGAAGAAGAGAUGUUGAAGGAGGAGUUUGCUGUUUUCUCAGUCUCCUGAGAAAUUCCAGGUUUGGAUGCUUCCUAAGGCCAUUCCCACUCUCCUCUAUCUAAACCAGAGAGAACGAUUGCUUGUCCUUAUCACAUUAUCCUUGCUUUCACUGUAAAUGAUGAUAAAUAAUAAUCUCUACACUUGCAUUUGCAUACAGCACUGCGUGCUUUUUCAAAGAACACUCAAGUCUGUUCUCACAUUUGAUUCUCACACCAGGCUUGGAGAUAUUUGAGGCAUCUCCUCCCCCCAAACUCAGUUGGACAGAUCAGAAAAAUGAGGUCCAGCAAACUGAAAUGACUUGCUCCAGAACUCACAGACAAUUAAUGACUAGAACCCAGGUCUUCUAACUUCCUACCAAUUAUUGUGAGGAGAGCCCAUAAAGGAGAAAAGGACAAGGGAUGAUCUAUGGAACAUUCAAACUCCUGUCUCUAGUUGCCUUUUUCUGGUUGUUUCUUGGAUAUCACGCACUCUCAUCAGCAGCCUUCCUACUCUUACAGAUUAUCAACACCUGUCCCAAAAUCCUGGGGCCAGCCAUGGUGCUUGGGCUUUUUUUCCCACAUCUAACCAUUCCGCAGCAUAUAACAAAUCCUUGACAAAUUUCCAGUGGAAAAAAAUAGCAGAAACCAUACACCCUCCAUCUGUGAAUUGAUGUGGCCAAGAACAGGCUUAUUUCAAAGGGUGCACCAUAGAAUAGUCGUAAGACUCAACCCCUCCAAGACUAGCUGGUGCUUAUCCCGCCCAUAGGCAGUUAAAAGGACUUUAUUUGCAUCUUAUUCUUUCCAACAGAAAGGCAAACAUUAUUAUUACAAUUCAGUAAAUUUCCAUAAGGAACCCCAUUGAUACAUGUUGUAUAUUUUGGGUUCUUUUGUUUCAUACUGAGCAUACCAACAUUAUAUCAAUAUUAUAUUUAUCUAGCAUUCUCCCAUAUUCAUAGAAAUAGAGAACUCAUCAGCCUUUAAAAAGAACUCAAAUGCACACAAAAUUUCACCCUCUAGAAAAGCAUCAAUGAAAAUGAUUUUGCAAAUAUAUAUACUUUUCAAUAUGUAAGUAUCUACAAAAAAAUUGAUAAUAAUUAAAUACCUGUAAAGUGCCAUGCACUUUACCUGUAUAUCUCAUUUAAUUCUCACAACAACCCUGUGAAGUAAGAAUUACUACGCCCAUUUUAUAGAUGAACUAGCUAGGAGUCAAAGACAUUGAGCCACUUGCCACACAUUUACAGCACGGAGCUACAAAGAUCUGGGACUUGAAUCCAGAUUUUCUAACUCCAGAGCCAAAGCUUUUCUUAAUAUGCCACAGGAGCAAGCACAGGAGCUUGCUCCAAAAGUCAAGUUAAUUUUUAGGAAAGAAUUAGGUAAGCAAAUAUUCAUGAAUUAGAGAAUGUCUUUAAUUUCAGAUCCAAAUCACUUGGUCACUUAAAAAUAAAAGACAAUAAAUCAUAAGGGAUUCUACUUGACUUAUUAUCUAAAGUGAUUAAUAAGAAUGACAUUUCCCCACCAACCCCAAAUGAAAAAAUCAAUUUGGGAAGUUUCCCAAUAAUUUAAACUUGAAACACUAAUCUGAAAAAGAAAAUCUAUAUAUCAAAAGUCUUCAUAGUAUGGCACAAAUAAAACAGAAUCUUAAUUUCCAAUUUCUAUUAAACUGAUUUUUCUUUUAAACUGGAGCCAGAAAGCCAAAAAGCCUUCAAAUCAAUUGAGCCUCUUGCAUUUUAUUUAAGAGGUUUCAUUUUUCAAACCAAAGCUGGGAAGACAAAACAAGCUUAUUUAAUUCACACCCCAGAAUUGUAAUUUCUCUGUUCAAGCCAAUGUCUAAGUGCCUGUAUUAAGGGCUUCCCACUGACCAUAAUGUGUUAAUUCAUCAUUGCACACAAUUUUCCUUUGUACUUUUAAGCUACUCUUCAUUUUCCCCUUGGUUAGGGUUGCCUAUACAACAGAGGACACCCAGUAAAACAUAAAUUUCAGAUAAACAACAAAUAGUCUUUACAUAAGCAUGCCCCCUGCAAUAAUUGAGACAUACUUAUACCCCCAAAAUUAUUUAUCUGAAAUUCACAUUUAACUAGACAUCCUGUAUUUUUAUUUGCUAAAUCUGGCAACCCUAUUCUUGAUCCAUUGUGGGUAUUCCCAGGACUUCACCUCUAAACUAUUAUAUUUUUCAAAUACAUUAUUUGUAUGUUUUGUGGUGUGUAUGUGUGUGUGUGUGCACGCGCGCGUGCCUCUCAGAAUGGAGGUUCUGGAGCAUCUCUCACUCUUGAGACCACAGCCAUCUAUCACUUUGGUUAUCAAUGUGUCCUCUAUCGUAUAUAUAAUUAUGUAUUAUGUUAUAUAUAUAUAUAUAUACAUAAUUUAGUGUGAAACUAGCCAGGACCAUUUUGAAAACGAAAAGUCAGUGGUGGGAGGUGGGAAGGAGUGUGUUGGGAGAAACUUUACCCACCACGUAUUAAAAGGUAUUAUAAAUCUAUACUGAUUAAAACAGUUUGGUUCUAGUAUGUGAGUAGAUAAAUUAACACCACAGAAUAGAGAUUACCCAAUUCUUUACCCCAAAAUAAGUUCUAGAAAUAUAAAGGAGUCAAAUGGAAAAUGCAAUUGUAAAGACACCAAGAGAAAGCAUGGAAUAAUUAUAUGUAGUCUUGAAGUGAAAAUGAUUUUUCUAAGGAAGAUGCAAAAUCCAGGAAGUAAAAAGAAAAAUUUCAUAAAUCUAGCUACAUAUAAUUUUCAAAACUUUUUUCAUGUAGAAAAUAUAAUAAAUGCAGUCAAAAAGCAAUUUAGGGGAACAUCUUCAAUUUAUCUCACUCAGGGUGGACUAAGUUAUUUAAUAUGUAAAAAUCUCUUGCAAAUCAAUAGAAAAAAAGCAAAAUCAUGAAUAGAAAAAUGAGUAAAGGCUAUAAAUGGACAUUUCACUGAAAAACAGCCAUACAAGUUAAUAAACACACAGAAAAAGAGGCUUAACCUCACUGAUGAUUAAGGCAAUGCAAGUUAAAGCAAUAAUGAAACAUCAUUUCCCUUCAUUAUAUUGAAAAAGAUUAAAAGCUAGAUAAUGUGUAGUAUUGAUGGGGAUAGAGAGAUGGGCAUUUCAUAACUUGUAGAUGAGAUUAUAAAUUGGUGCAACGUCUUUGGAGGGCACGAUUUUGCAGUAUCUUUUAAUAUGAAAAAUGUAUUUAUCCUUGACUAAGUAAUUCCCAUUCUAGAAAUGUAUAUUAUGAAAAUACUUGCACAGUAUGCAAAUGUAUACAAGUAUAAGGGUGUCCAUUGCAGUAUUAUUUGUGUUAAUGAAAAAUGGGACUAAGGCAAAUGUCUAUUAUAAGAGAUAGGAUAAAAAAUUUAGUGCAUAUUCAUAUAUUGAAAUAAUAUUGUCAAUUAAAAAAUAAAACUGAUCCACAUGUGUGGAAAUAAAAUUAUUUCCCAAUUUAAUUUGUUGAAAUUUUUAAAAGACUCACAAUGGUGUGCAGGUGAAUGCCCUUUUUUAAUAAGGAAAGAUGCAUAUAUGUACAUAUGUUUGUAUGUGCAGAAGUAGACUGGCUUUUUUAUAUCCUUUUGUACUCUGAAGCUUUCUGUAUGAAUUGCAUGUAUUACUUUUUCAAUAAAAAACCUAAUCUAUAAAA